rnacentral:rRNA from 1 species
ACGAACGCUGGCGGCGUGCUUAACACAUGCCGGUCGAACGGAAAGGCCCUGCUUUUGUGGGGUGCUCGAGUGGCGAACGGGUGAGUAACACGUGAGUAACCUGCCCUUGACUUUGGGAUAACUUCAGGAAACUGGGGCUAAUACCGGAUAGGAGCUCCUGCUGCAUGGUGGGGGUUGGAAAGUUUCGGCGGUUGGGGAUGGACUCGCGGCUUAUCAGCUUGUUGGUGGGGUAGUGGCUUACCAAGGCUUUAACGGGUAGCCGGCCUGAGAGGGUGACCGGCCACAUUGGGACUGAGAUACGGCCCAGACUCCUACGGGAGGCAGCAGUGGGGAAUAUUGCACAAUGGGCGGAAGCCUGAUGCAGCAACGCCGCGUGCGGGAUGACGGCCUUCGGGUUGUAAACCGCUUUCGCCUGUGACGAAGCGUGAGUGACGGUAAUGGGUAAAGAAGCACCGGCUAACUACGUG